rnacentral:rRNA from 1 species
GGGUCAGUAGGUUGGUCGUGCCACCGGUACGUACUGGUCUCACUGAUUCCUCCUUCCUGAAGAACCGUAAUGCCAUUAAUUUGGUGUUGCGGGGAAACAGGACUGUUACUUUGAAAAAAUUAGGGUGUUUAAAGCAAGCUAACGCUUGAAUACAUUAGCAUGGAAUAAUGAAAUAGGACGAUCGAUCAUAUUUUGUUGGUUUCUAGGAUUGACGUA